CUAUCAAAAUGAAUCCUUGAAUUCAAAUGGGCAUGUCAUGUUUUGAGCAGAAAGAAUUAAGCAAUGAAUAUUUUAAUGAAUCAUAUGAAAUGUUUUCCCCACCAAGUAUCACACAAGUCGCUAAUCACCGGUCGGGCAUAAAUGCAUCAGUCGAGCAGACCUAGCGCUAUUCUCCCAGUGACCCGACCUGAAACGAAGCGAAUGAGUGAAGCGGACGUGAUUGCAUCAGCAGACAGUAUCUAAUUUGAAUCAGGAGGGUCAUUUGUCCCAGCUGUUAGAAGGAGUCGAGAGAUAAGAAGGAACUGGACUGAUAAAAAGAAACUAAAGUAAGAUGAGCAGGAAUUCAUCAGUUCAGCAUCUUGUAUGGAUUCAAGCUCACUGGUGCUGUGAGUCACAGACUGGUUUCCUCUGGUCUAACAAGGCAACUCCUGUAUAAAUCAACCUUAUGAAGUGCCCAAAUGGCUUCCAAACAGCAUGACAAUCAUCUGCCAAACAAGGGAUUUCGGGAGAGAACCAUAUUUGAGAAACCGACUUAUGGGUGCAUGUUUGUAACAUGUAUUGUUAGUUAUUGUUUAUAAAUGAAUUUCCAACCUGUUGUCCCUCCUGCUGUUGAACUGUGCAUCCCACUGCAAGACCAAGACCAAUUUUAUUUUAAGUAAAUAUAAAUUUAUAUAAUUAAACAACAGAAGGAUAGACACACAUGACCUC